CUAUUCCUACCUUGGACUGCCUAAUCACAUUCUUCAGUCCACCAUGGCACCAUUGCUCCUCUUACUGGUACUUUUUUUUAGGGAUAUUCUGAACUGCCGCCGACCACAUCACAU